CAUGCAGUCGAGCGGUAAGGCCUUUCGGGGUACACGAGCGGCGAACGGGUGAGUAACACGUGGGUGAUCUGCCCUGCACUUCGGGAUAAGCCUGGGAAACUGGGUCUAAUACCGGAUAUGACCUCCUAUCGCAUGGUGGGUGGUGGAAAGAUUUAUCGGUGCAGGAUGGGCCCGCGGCCUAUCAGCUUGUUGGUGGGGUAAUGGCCUACCAAGGCGACGACGGGUAGCCGACCUGAGAGGGUGACCGGCCACACUGGGACUGAGACACGGCCCAGACUCCUACGGGAGGCAGCAGUGGGGAAUAUUGCACAAUGGGCGAAAGCCUGAUGCAGCGACGCCGCGUGAGGGAUGACGGCCUUCGGGUUGUAAACCUCUUUCAGCAGGGACGAAGCGCAAGUGACGGUACCUGCAGAAGAAGCACCGGCUAACUACGUGCCAGCAGCCGCGGUAAUACGUAGGGUGCAAGCGUUGUCCGGAAUUACUGGGCGUAAAGAGUUCGUAGGCGGUUUGUCGCGUCGUUUGUGAAAACCAGCAGCUCAACUGCUGGCUUGCAGGCGAUACGGGCAGACUUGAGUACUGCAUGGGAGACUGGAAUUCCUGGUGUAGCGGUGAAAUGCGCAGAUAUCAGGAGGAACACCGGUGGCGAAAGGCGGGUCUCUGGGCAGUAACUGACGCUGAGGAACGAAGCGUGGGUAGCGAACAGGAUUAGAUACCCUGGGUAGUCCACGCCGUAAACGGUGGGGCGCUAGGUGUGGGUCUUCCACGGAAUCCG
rnacentral:rRNA from 1 species